AGAGUUUGAUCCUGGCUCAGGACGAACGCUGGCGGCGUGCCUAAUACAUGCAAGUCGAGCGGACUUAAAAAGCUUGCUUUUUAAGUUAGCGGCGGACGGGUGAGUAACACGUGGGCAACCUGCCUGUAAGACUGGGAUAACUUCGGGAAACCGGAGCUAAUACCGGAUAAUCCUUUCCUACUCAUGUAGGAAAGCUGAAAGACGGUUUACGCUGUCACUUACAGAUGGGCCCGCGGCGCAUUAGCUAGUUGGUGAGGUAACGGCUCACCAAGGCGACGAUGCGUAGCCGACCUGAGAGGGUGAUCGGCCACACUGGGACUGAGACACGGCCCAGACUCCUACGGGAGGCAGCAGUAGGGAAUCUUCCGCAAUGGACGAAAGUCUGACGGAGCAACGCCGCGUGAGUGAUGAAGGUUUUCGGAUCGUAAAACUCUGUUGUUAGGGAAGAACAAGUACGAGAGUAACUGCUCGUACCUUGACGGUACCUAACCAGAAAGCCACGGCUAACUACGUGCCAGCAGCCGCGGUAAU
rnacentral:rRNA from 1 species